rnacentral:rRNA from 1 species
CGGCGGACGGGUGAGUAACACGUGGAUAACCUACCUAUAAGACUGGGAUAACUUCGGGAAACCGGAGCUAAUACCGGAUAAUAUAUUGAACCGCAUGGUUCAAUAGUGAAAGACGGUUUUGCUGUCACUUAUAGAUGGAUCCGCGCCGCAUUAGCUAGUUGGUAAGGUAACGGCUUACCAAGGCAACGAUGCGUAGCCGACCUGAGAGGGUGAUCGGCCACACUGGAACUGAGACACGGUCCGGACUCCUACGGGAGGCAGCAGGC